rnacentral:rRNA from 1 species
GACGAACGCUGGCGGCGUGCCUAACACAUGCAAGUCGAGCGGAGAUGUACUGAAGAUUUAUCGGAUGUACAUCUUAGCGGCGGACGGGUGAGUAACGCGUGGGCAACCUGCCUUCCACUGGGGGAUAACACAGGGAAACCUGUGCUAAUACCGCAUGACAUCACAUAGGGCAUCCUGUGUGAUCAAAGGAGUGAUCCGGUGGAAGAUGGGCCCGCGUCCGAUUAGCUAGUUGGUGAGGUAACGGCUCACCAAGGCGACGAUCGGUAGCCGGACUGAGAGGUUGGCCGGCCACAUUGGGACUGAGACACGGCCCAGACUCCUACGGGAGGCAGCAGUGGGGAAUAUUGCGCAAUGGGGGGAACCCUGACGCAGCGACGCCGCGUGAAGGAAGAAGGCCUUCGGGUUGUAAACUUCUUUGAUGAGGGACGAAGGAAGUGACG